CUACGGGUCGCUCCAGUGGGGAAUAUUGGACAAUGGGGGAAACCCUGAUCCAGCAAUGCCGCGUGUGUGAAGAAGGCCUGCGGGUUGUAAAGCACUUUCGGUUGGGAGGACUGCUUCUAGCACUAAUAUUGUUGGAAGUUGACGUUACCUUCAGAAGAAGCACCGGCUAGCUCCGUGCCAGCAGCCGCGGUAAUACGGAGGGUGCAAGCGUUAAUCGGAAUUACUGGGCGUAAAGCGCGCGUAGGCGGCUAGAUCAGUCGGGUGUGAAAGCCCCGGGCUUAACCUGGGAACUGCAUCCGUACUGUCUAGCUUGAGUACAGGAGAGGAGAGUGGAAUUCCACAUGUAGCGGUGAAAUGCGUAGAUAUGUGGAGGAACACCAAUGGCGAAGGCAGCUCUCUGGCCUGAUACUGACGCUGAGGUGCGAAAGCGUGGGGAGCAAGCAGGAUUAGAUAACCUAGUAGUC
rnacentral:rRNA from 1 species